rnacentral:rRNA from 1 species
AGAACGAACGCUGGCGGCAGGCUUAACACAUGCAAGUCGAGCGCGCGCCUUCGGGUGCGAGCGGCGGACGGGUUAGUAACGCGUGGGAACGUGCCCUCUUCUGCGGAACAGCCUCGGGAAACUGAGAUUAAUACCGCAUACGCCCUUUGGGUAACCAUUGGGGGAAAGAUUUAUCGGAGGAGGAUCGGCCCGCGUUGGAUUAGGUAGUUGGUGAGGUAACGGCUCACCAAGCCGACGAUCCAUAGCUGGUUUGAGAGGAUGAUCAGCAACACUGGGACUGAGACACGGCCCAGACUCCUACGGGAGGCAGCGAGGUGGGAAUCUUGGACAAGUGGGGACAACCCGUGACUCCAGCCAUGCCGCGUGGACGAUGAAGGCUUAGGUUAGUAAGUCCGUUUCGCCGGGGAAGAUAAGUGUAACGGUACCCGGUAAAGACGCCCCGGACUAACCGUCCGUCGACCGA